AGUGAACGCUGGCGGUAGGCCUAACACAUGCCAGUCGAACGGCAGCACAGUAAUAGCUUGCUCUUACGGGUGGCGAGUGGCGGACGGGUGAGGAAUACCUCGGAAGCUGCUUUUUCGUGGGGGAUAACGUAGGGAAACUUACGCUAAUACCGCAUACGACCUACGGGUGAAAGCAUCGGAUCUUCGGACCUUGCGCGAUUGAAUGAGCCGAUGUCGGAUUAGCUAGUUGGCGGGGUAAAGGCCCACCAAGGCGACGAUCCGUAGCUGGUCUGAGAGGAUGAUCAGCCACACUGGAACUGAGACACGGUCCAGACUCCUACGGGAGGCAGCAGUGGGGAAUAUUGGACAAUGGGCGCAAGCCUGAUCCAGCCAUACCGCGUGGGUGAAGAAGGCCUUCGGAUUGUAAAGCCCUUUUGUUGGGAAAGAAAAGCAGUAGGUUAAUACCCCGCUGUUCUGACGGUACCCAAAGAAUAAGCACCGGCUAACUUCGUG
rnacentral:rRNA from 1 species